rnacentral:rRNA from 1 species
UACGUAGGGGGCUAGCGUUGUCCGGAUUUAUUGGGCGUAAAGAGCGUGUAGGCGGCCAGGUAGGUCUGCUGUGAAAACCCGAGGCUCAACCUCGAGACGCCGGUGGAAACCGUAAAGCUAGAGUCCGGAAGAGGAGAGUGGAAUUCCUGGUGUAGCGGUGAAAUGCGCAGAUAUCAGGAGGAACACCCGUGGCGAAAGCGGCUCUCUGGGACGGUACUGACGCUGAGACGCGAAAGCGUGGGGAGCAAACAGG